UUUGGCGACCAUAGCGGUGGGGUUACACCUGGUCUCGUUUCGAUCCCAGAAGUAAAGUCCUCCUGCGUUUUUUGUGGUACUGUGGGUGUUCCUAUGGGAAGCUUUUGACGUCGUCAGCC
rnacentral:rRNA from 1 species